rnacentral:lncRNA from 1 species
ACAAUGUCGAUCAAGUUUGUUGAAUCCAGUCGUAUAUAAAUAGACCCUCCUGUAAGGCUUUAAAUAGGUAUUUGAUCCCCAUCCAAUUUCCUUUAAGUUGCAGAGUGCUUGGGUUGUGCCACGACUACCACUGAUCACCUAUCGCUGCGAUUUAUUUAUUACACUUGUUGCCACAGGUUCAGGUCUUGCUGUGAAUUUUUUUUUCCUGCUAGGCACCGAAAGGAUGUCAUAUAUAUAAACACACAGACAUGGUUCAUUGUGCUUUUGAUUUUGACUAGCAUGUAUGUGUACACACACACAUGUUGGAAAUGUGCCCUAAAACCAAUCAUAUGAUGAUACUUUACGAACAUUUCACAUGUUAAAUUAAUCUAGUUUAAUGUCAAGGGCGAAGAUUAUUGUUUGAAGCUGUCUCAUAUAAAUGUUAUAUGCUUAAACGAUAAGUCCAAGGAAUAUGUAAUUAGGAGAAUGUAAUUUAAAGAAGUUAGAUUCAUGAGACCAUUCUCUUUCGUAUACAUAUCCUAAACGUUCCUGAUCAUAGGAUUGCCAAUUGGGCAUUGACAGUCCGUUAAGAUCAGUACAUGCUAUGUCUUCUCUUAGGGAGAGUGACUGGUCUCGAGUCAUUGGUGUGAUUGACACCAAGACAAGCAUGUAGGUGCUCAAUAGGGAAUGAGUCCACUGAACACGAUCAACGAGGAGUUCUCAUACUCAUGUCACAUGAGAACUCAUGGUUGGGCUAAUGCAAAGUAGUCCUUUGACCUGAGGCAUCAUAGUUGUCUUUUGGUUAGGUCCUUGAUCUUUGAAUAUGUCAAAGUCACUCCAUCAGAGGGUGUCCACGGCAUAGUUGG